rnacentral:rRNA from 1 species
GCCAAAAAUCUAGCUAUUUAAUUCACACUCGUCAAAAUACCAAAUAAAAUAUUCUAUAAACAUAGUAAAGAAGAUUAAAAAAUUAUUAUAAGCUAUAACUACGUACCGCAAGGGAAAGAUGAAAUAAAAAUGAGACAAUAAAGCACAAAAAAGUAGAGACUCCCCCUCGUACCUUUUGCAUCAUGAUUUAGCAAGUCCAACUAGGCAAAAAACCUUUAAGUCUAACCCCCCGAAACUAGGUGAGCUAUUUUAAAGUCGCUUACUGAGCUAACCCAACUGUGUUGCAAAAUAGUGGGAUAACUUUAAAAUAGAGGUGAAACGCCUAUCGAACUUAGUUAUAGCUGGUCUCUCAGGAAAAGAGUCUUAGCUCCGCCCAAAGACUAAUAUAAAUACAUUUAAAUUAACAGCAAUCUUUGGAGUAAGUUAAAUAAGGUACAGCCUAUUUAACACAGGGUUCAACCUUAACCUAAGGGUAAAACUCCCAUAGCCAUAAAGUA